ACGAACGCUGGCGGCGUGCUUAACACAUGCAAGUCGAACGGAAAGGCCCUGCUUGCAGGGUACUCGAGUGGCGAACGGGUGAGUAACACGUGGGUGAUCUGCCCUGCACUUCGGGAUAAGCCUGGGAAACUGGGUCUAAUACCGGAUAGGAGCCAUUUUUAGUGUGAUGGUUGGAAAGUUUUUUCGGUGUAGGAUGAGCUCGCGGCCUAUCAGCUUGUUGGUGGGGUAAUGGCCUACCAAGGCGGCGACGGGUAGCCGGCCUGAGAGGGUGGACGGCCACAUUGGGACUGAGAUACGGCCCAGACUCCUACGGGAGGCAGCAGUGGGGAAUAUUGCACAAUGGGCGUAAGCCUGAUGCAGCGACGCCGCGUGGGGGAUGACGGCCUUCGGGUUGUAAACUCCUUUCGCUAGGGACGAAGCUUUUGUGACGGUACCUAGAUAAGAAGCACCGGCUAACUACGUG
rnacentral:rRNA from 1 species